AUGGCAAGUACAAUAUAUAAGAGAAUUUGUACGAUCAAUUCUGAUCAAUACUUUGAAUACCAAGAAAGUCAAUUCAAAGUGUUGGCUGAAUAUGGAGAUAUUCUUUGGCACAUUAUGGUCCACAUAGAUGACACGGUUUCCAAUGUUGAUGGGCAAUGUGUAAUUUGAGGACAUCAGCACAAUCAGUCCAUCAACUAAAUCUGAGACAUACUGAAACGAUCUUGUUUGAUGUCCGUCGCCAUAAAUAGUGAUGGAGUCGUUUUGUAAAGCUUGAAGAAUAAAAUUCGAAACAACGCGACCGUCGUUCAUGUGCAUUCGCGGUCCAAACGUGUUAAAUAUCCUAGCAACUCUUACGGAAACACCUUCUUGCCGCAUUUUUUAUAGUUUUCACUGGAUUUAACAUAUAAUGUGGAGGACUGGCUGGACUGGCAAGGUGAUAAAUUUCAUCGACUUCAAGAUAAAGUGGUCUCACUAUAUCAUGAUGAACAAGCUCAAAAUUUUCAUGGCCAAUCCAGUGUUCCACGUUUCG